rnacentral:rRNA from 1 species
UACGUAGGGAGCAAGCGUUGUCCGGAAUCAUUGGGCGUAAAGCGCGCGUAGGCGGCCUCAUAAGUCCGUUGUGAAAGUCAAAGGCUCAACCUUUGAAAGCCGAUGGAUACUGUGAGGCUAGAGUCCGGAAGAGGCGAGUGGAAUUCCUGGUGUAGCGGUGGAAUGCGCAGAUAUCAGGAGGAACACCAAUAGCGAAGGCAGCUCGCUGGGACGUGACUGACGCUGAGACGCGAAAGCGUGGGGAGCAAACAGG